AUUUUAAAUAGCCAAACCUGAUGUGAAUCAGGGACGGAAAGCCAACGGGUCUCACUGUGAGAUGGCUGGGUUGCCUGA
rnacentral:ncRNA from 1 species